rnacentral:rRNA from 1 species
GAUGAACGCUGGCGGCGUGCCUAAUACAUGCAAGUCGAGCGAACGGACGAGAAGCUUGCUUCUCUGAUGUUAGCGGCGGACGGGUGAGUAACACGUGGAUAACCUACCUAUAAGACUGGGAUAACUUCGGGAAACCGGAGCUAAUACCGGAUAAUAUUUUGUACCGCAUGGUUCAAAAGUGAAAGACGGUCUUGCUGUCACUUAUAGAUGGAUCCGCGCUGCAUUAGCUAGUUGGUAAGGUAACGGCCUACCAAGGCAACGAUGCAUAGCCGACCUGAGAGGGUGAUCGGCCACACUGGAACUGAGACACGGUCCAGACUCCUACGGGAGGCAGCAGUAGGGAAUCUUCCGCAAUGGGCGAAAGCCUGACGGAGCAACGCCGCGUGAGUGAUGAAGGUCUUCGGAUCGUAAAACUCUGUUACUAGGGAAGAACAUAUGUGUAAGUAACUGUGCACAUCUUGACGGUACCUAAUCAGAAAGCCACGGCUAACUACGUG